rfam:Schistosoma curassoni strain Dakar, Senegal genome assembly, scaffold: SCTD_scaffold0002611
AUCCAUCUGAUGAGUCCCAAACAGGACGAAAUGUGGGUCCUUGAU